CAACCCUGACGGAGCAAGACCGCGUGGGGGAGGAAUGCCUUAGGGUUGUAAACCCCUUUUAUCUGGGAAGAAAAUACUGACGGUACCAGAUGAAUCAGCCUCGGCUAACUCCGUGCCAGCAGCCGCGGUAAUACGGAGGAGGCAAGCGUUAUCCGGAUUUAUUGGGCGUAAAGGGUCUGCAGGUGGCGGUUCAAGUCUGCUGUCAAAGACAGUAGCUCAACUACUGACAGGCACUGGAAACUGAAUCGCUAGAGAACGGUAGGGGCAGAAGGAAUUCCCGGUGUAGCGGUGAAAUGCGUAGAUUUCGGGAAGAACAUCGGCGGCGAAAGCGUUCUGCUGGACCGUAUCUGACACUCAGGGACGAAAGCUAGGGGAGCG
rnacentral:rRNA from 1 species